UCAAAUUAUGUGCUCAAGAACUAAAGAAUGGACCACAUGGCACAAUUUUGGAUUCAAGUCGUUACAGUCAACCCAAAUGACAUUUCAAAACAAUUAAACCAAAACAUGCGUUCGCACCCUCAAGCAAUUGAGUUAAACUAACAGCAUCAUAUUGUAUAUGAUCAAGCCCGGAGCAAUACCACAACUAAAUAUAAUGCCCAAAAUUAUAACAUACUAUGCAGCUUCUGAAACUAUAACAAUAACUACUUAUGGUCUCCAUUUCCGAUAGGGAAAGAACUAUAAGCCUCGCGAUAGCAAAACUUGACCCAGCAA